GACGUAGGGCGCGAGCGUUGUCCGGAUUUAUUGGGCGUAAAGAGCUCGUAGGCGGCUUGUCGCGUCGUUCGUGAAAACCUGGGGCUCAACUCCAGGCUUGCGGGCGAUACGGGCAGGCUAGAGUUCGGUAGGGGAGACUGGAAUUCCUGGUGUAGCAGUGAAAUGCGUAGAUAUCAGGAGGAACACCGAUGGCGAAGGCAGGUCUCUGGGCUGACACUGACGCUCAUGCACGAAAGCGUGGGGAGCAAACAGG
rnacentral:rRNA from 1 species